AUUGAACGCUGGCGGCAGGCCUAACACAUGCAAGUCGAGCGGAGCGGCGGACGGGUGAGUAAUGCCUAGGAAUCUGCCUGGUCUUGGGGGAUAACGUCCGGAAACGGGCGCUAAUACCGCAUACUAUCAGAUGAGCCUAGGUCGGUUUAGCUAGUUGGUGGGGUAAAGGCCUACCAAGGCGACGAUCCGUAACUGGUCGGAGAGGAUGAUAAGUCACACUGGAACGGAGACACGGUCCAGACUCCUACGGGAGGCAGAAGUGGGGAAUAUUGGAGAAUGGGCGAAAGCCUGAUCAAGCAAGGCCGGGUGGGUGAAGAAGGUCUUCGGAUUGUAAAGCACGUUAAGUUGGGAGGCGUUACCAACAGAAUAAGCACCGGCUAACUUCGUGCCAGCAGCCGCGGUAAUAC
rnacentral:rRNA from 1 species